AGGGACCUGGUGCUUGCUGUGGUCACAGCCUCCUUAUGCUGCCCAGACUGUGCUCCCUUUCAUGUUAAGAUCUCAUUUUGCAACAUCCAUGAAUAUUGCACAAUUACUAGGUCCCAGGAAGAAAUUAUGUGCCACUGCUGAAGCUAUUCUGGAGAGGACCUUGUAAAGAAUUUGCCUGUCCUAGGAAACGAACCCGCGACGAUUGACCGACCUGCCGGCCGGGUCGGAACAGUCAGAAUACUACAUGGCAAUGAGAAAGAAUGAAAUCUGGCCAUUCUUGGCAAAGUGGAUGGACCUCGAAGGUGUCAU